CGGCUCUCAGUGGUCACGUGGGCGCCGCGUGCUCGGCCACGCCCCCAUCGUCCUCUCGUUGGAAGGAAGGGCGGGACCCCGGUUCAGAGAGAGACACAGCGAGAGCAGGAACACAAGCAGGGGGAGUGGGAGAGGGAGAAGCAGGCUUCCUGCCGAGCAGGGAGCCCGAUGUGGGACUCGAUCCAGGGACUCCAGGAUCAUGACCUGAGCCGAAGGCAGUCGCCCAACCAACUGAGCCACCCAGGCGCCCCUGGUCCAUUUACAUUUACUUAUUGAUAGAGACACAGCGAGAGAGGGAACACAAGCAGGGGGAGAGGGAGAAGCAGGCUUCCUGCCGAGCAGGGAGCCCGAUGCGGGGCUCGGUUCCAGGACCCUGGGACCAUGACCUGAGCUGAAGGCAGACGCUUAACGACUGAGCCACCCAGGUGCCCCGUAAUAGUCAAAUGUUUUAUUGUGGAAAGAGAUGUUGGGAAAAAGGCAAUGAGGAAAGGAUGAAUUUUACAUCCUGAUUCUCACUUUGGGCUCCAAAGACUUCAAGAAGAUGACACCUACUCACCACACUCUUGCCUAGAAGACAAUCAAAUAUUUGCCUAGAUACACAGACGCCAGCGGGAACCAGUGUGGAACGCUCGCCACCUAGCUUUUGCUAACAGCAUGCCUUGCUCCUGAGUUCUCCUGAAGACUGUCCCAUCCAACCUGCCUCACUCCAAAGGCCUCCCUCCAAAGCGAUACCACAAGGGCCUCAUUGCACAAACAGCCUCAACAGGGGUCAGCGCCACCCCGACGUGACUCUUGCCCUGGGGAGAGGAGGAGAUACCCACACACACACACAGCAGUUCAAUGGCAGCCCCAGCAAGGGGCGGCAGGCAGACGUCAGACUGCCUGCCCCCCCCCACCAACAGAAACCUCAUAGGGUGGGGGCAGCACAAAGAGAACCCAGUAGUUCAGGGUCACUGCAGCCACCAUAGAAGACUGGGGACAGACAUCUGCUCUGACUCCUGACCUUGCCCACCAAUGAAAGCCUCUUGGGGACAACAGAGGGAGAGAACCCUGUAGUUCAGCGCAGCCACAGUUCCAGCAAGUGGGCUGAAGGCAAGCAUCUGGUCUGACCUAACUCAAGCCCAGAGUGGCCCCAGACUGGCACCUUAACAGCACAGGGACCAAACCCUGAUGACAACAACUGGCCUAAAGGCAAAUGUGGCUCAAGCAAAACAGUAGGGUGCAUGCAACACACAUAGGAGACACCCCUGGAACAUCAGGUUCUAGUGAGGAGGGGACUGCACUACGGGGCAUUUCAGGAUCUCUUCAUAAGGCCACUACUUUCAAGAUCAGGAGACAGAGCUUACUUUAAUACAUAGAAGCAGAAUUAGGAAUUAUGCCCCAAAUGAAACAAGACAAAAAAGACAAUUUAAUGUAAUUGUCAUAAAGAUACUCACUGGACUUAAGCUUGAAAGAUCUCCAUGUGACCUUCAACAAAAAUAGAAUAUAUAAAAAAGAGGAGUGCCUGGGUGGCUCAGUCAGUUAAGCGUCUGCCUUCGGCUCAGGUCAUGAUCCCAGGGUCCUGGGAUCGAGCCCCACGUCGGGCUUCUUGCUCAGCAGGGGGCGAAGAGUUCUGAAACUAAAAAUACACUAGAGUGAAUAAGUAGACUAGAGGAAGCAGAAAAACAGACAAGAAGCUAGAAGACCGUAAUGGAGAGGAACCAAGCUGAACAGGAAAAAAAAAAAAAAAUAGGUUAAGAGAACUCAGCAACAUCAUGUGUAAUAAUAUUCACAUUCUAGGGAUCCCAGAAGGAGAAGAGAGAAAAAGGGGCAGAAAUUUUGAUUAGGAAAGUUUUCAGAUACUUAAUCUGGGGAAGUAUCUAAAACUUUCCAAAAUCUAGGUCCAGGAGGCACAGAGAGCCACCAAAAAGAAAAAAAAAAAAAAAAAAAAGGAGGUCCACACCAACACACAUAAUUAAAAUGGCAAAAAGUAGUGAGAAAUUUAAAAGCAGCAAGAGAAAAAACAAUUACAUACAUACAAGGGAACCUCCAGAAAGCUGUGAGCAGAUUUUUCAGCAGAAGCUUUGCAGUCCAGAGGGGAGUGGGAUGGUAUGUUCAAAGUGCUGAAAGAAGAAAAACCUGCAGCCAAGAAUACUCUAUCCAGCAAGACUAUCAUUCAGAAUACAAGGAGAAAUAGAGUUUUUCAGACAAAUAAAAGCAAAAGGAGUGCAUGGCCACUAAACCAGCCCAACAAGAAACACUAAAGGGAAUUCUUUGAGUGGGAAUGAAAGGCCAUAAUCAGGUAUAAGAAAAUUAGGGAAGGAAACAAUUUCUCAGGCACAUGAAAACAUAAAGUAGAUUAACCAGUGUAUAAAACCAGUAUAGAGAUUAAAGCACAAAAGCAGUAAAAUCAAUUAGAUCUAUAAAAUAGUAAAUAAAGGGACUCACAAAAGAAUGUAAAGUAUGACAUCGUAUACAUAAACGUGUGGGGGUGGGGAGAGUAAAAGUUAACUUGUCCAUG